UACAAAAUUAAACUGCUUUAUAACCUAUUUAGUACAAAAUAGAUCUAAAAGUAAGAUACAGAAAAAUACAAGGCAGGGAGUCUCUCUGAAUCUGCUGUGAUUCUGGGGACUGCCCAAUUCGUGAAUUGUUCAUUGCUCGAUUAAACUCCUUUAAAUUUAAUUUGACUGAAGUUUUUAUUUUAACAGAUGGUGUCAGAAGCGUCGUUCAAAGUAGAGAACUUUAAUGAACCCCAGAAGUGCUGAGUGAACAAGCAAGGUACCUGCAAGGACCCACUUGUUUCCUUUGAUCUCUCAGACCAGUGGCAUCUUAAUUGCCUCUUUUAAGAACUUUGGGAAGUGGACCCUACAUUGUAAAGAUAGGAUUCAACAAAGCAGAAUGUUGCUCAAACGUUGCUCAAAAAGGAAACCAGUGUUAAAGUGAUGAUUCCUUUGAGCUUAUUGUUCUACUCACCACACAUUUGCAACAUUUGAUGCAGUCAUUCACAAUGGAAAAAUGCAUUCUCCUCAACAGAUUUGCAGAAACUCUUACUUUGGUCACACCUGUCUGGGAAGAGUGGUAUCCUGCUGAAUCAGUCAACUUCACUGUUAUUCUCAGCUUUGAGUGGCUUAAUUGUCAAGGUAUUCUAUGGCACCUUUACAGCAGGGUUAACAACUUUUUGUCUGAUUUUCAAGGACAGGUUGAAAGGAAACAGUGAGCCUCUGUUUGUCUCAAUAUCAUUGUUUUGCACAGGGAUAUGCAGCUUUAAUUUCACAUAUUUGGCAAAUCCAGGUGAUAUUUUAGAAAUACGGGAUUAUAAUUACCAAUGAGUUUCUCUCUUAGGUAGACAAUAAAUACAUUGAAAACUUUGUGACAUUUUAUAGCCAGUGAAAGGCUAUUUCUUCUUAUGUCAUUGAUGAACCAAGGUAACUUAAUUGUAUUUUUUUUUAAAUGAAGCACAGACUAUAUGAAAAUUGAUUUACAUUGUUUUGUAUAGUUAUAGUCUAUAAGAUUUCCAAAGUUAUGUUAAAAGUCCAAUUUUAACCAGUAUUUAAAUUCAGAAAUGCCUACUUAUGUUUGGUUAUUCAUGAAAGAACACCUAUUUUUCUUUUUUAUUACUAUUAAGCUAGGGAUGGCUCUGGACUCUAAGAAUAUAUCAGUGAGUAAGUUUCAGCAUUCAUAGAACUUGUACUUUAUGUGAAAGGGAGAUUAACACAAGUAUUUUUUUUAAAGGCUGUAGAUCACGACAAGUGCUAUAAAGAUAAUAUUCUAUUUAAAUGAAUAAAGGGUAACUAGGAUACAGGGUGGUCAAAAAUCCCUUAAAACAGAUGACAUUUGAGUAGAGACAAGAAAGAAUAAUGAAUAGCUUCCAACCAUUUAAAUAGCCGAGAAAAACAAAUCCAAGCAGAGAAAAAUAGCAAAUGGAAAUUCCCUACGAAUAAAUGGUUUUGGUUUGUCAGAGGAAAAACAAGAAUGCCAGAGUUGCUAGAGAGUGGAUGCGAAGCAGCAGAAUGAGAGAUGAAAUCAGGGGAACACAUGGGAAGUGGUAAACUACAGAAAUAAGUUUGAUAUUUAUUUAAGUAAAAUAAGAAAAUAGUUGAAGAAUUUUAAGGGAGGGAGUGUUGUGAUAUGGUUUGUGUUGUAAAAGGUAACUUUUCUUAGCAUUCCUUGAUGUAUAUGUACCAUAUUUUCUUUAUCCAAGCUAUCAUUGAUGGGCAUCUAGGUUGAUUUCAUGUUUUCGCUAUUGUAAAUAGU